GUCGGAGUGGCCUAGUCUGGUUAGGGCGUCGGACUCAUAGGGUAUUGAAUACUCGCCAUAACUUGAGACAAGUAGCCUGAGACAUCCGAAGGUCGGGGGUUCGGAUCCCCCCUCCGACA
rnacentral:tRNA from 1 species